ACUUAUAUAAUUUAUUAGAAUAUUGCAUUGAAGCUGCAAAAGAGACAAGUUUGUCUAUAAGUG
rnacentral:tRNA from 1 species